rnacentral:tRNA from 1 species
GGAGAGGUGGCCGAGCGGUUUAAGGCGGCGGUCUUGAAAACCGCUAGGGGUCUAACAGCCCCUCGUGGGUUCGAAUCCCACCCUCUCCG